AUUCUGUUCUUCUCCACGUUUUGGCUUCUUCCUCAGCUGGUAGCAUUUCCAGCUGUCACAUCCAGACAGACUGAAGUGGAGAAGUUGAAAAAGUCUGACUUUUCAGUGUUACCUACUUAAAAGUGGAGAAAUUUUUCCAGAAGCCUUCAUCCAACCCCUCCUUAUAUCUCUUUGGCCUGAAAAGGAUACCAUGGAACUAAGCAAGAAGAGGAAUGCUCCUGCACCCAACAGAGGAUUAAAGCCUUGCUACUUCUCAUUAUGUGUGUGGGAGAGGACCGAAGGUAGAUAAUUCAGUGAAGAUGUGUGAAUGGGAGGCAGAAAAGACGGCACAAGUGUAGAAAAACAUUUCUUUUAUCAUUUGCCCAGUGGCUUGUAUGAGAACCUGGAUUCUUCUUGAAUGCAAUUAUGCGCAGUCUGUUACUGAAAGGAAAUUUGCUUCCAGGAUCCGUGGAAAAUAGGUUAACAUGUUUCUGAAGAUGUCUCAUUCCUGUGUGUGGGCAGAAUAUGAGAAGAUAACAGAGUGGUCCUAAGGACACUGUGGGAAGAACGGGUAGGCUGAAAGCCAUGAUUCAGAAGAC
rnacentral:lncRNA from 1 species